UACAGGGGGGGCAAGCGUUGUUCGGAAUUACUGGGCGUAAAGGGCUCGUAGGCGGCCAACUAAGUCCGACGUGAAAUCCCAAAGCUUAACUUUGGAACUGCGUCGGAUACUGGAUGGCUUGAAUUCGGGAGAGGGAUGCAGAAUUCCAGGUGUAGCGGUGAAAUGCGUAGAUAUCUGGAGGAAUACCGGUGGCGAAGGCGGCAUUCUGGACCGACAUUGACGCUGAGGAGCGAAAGCCAGGGGAGCAAACGGG
rnacentral:rRNA from 1 species